rnacentral:tRNA from 1 species
GGCUUUGUGGCGGAAUGGUAGACGCUGAGGACUUAAAAUCCUUUCCUCAUUGCGAGGGUGUGGGUUCGAGUCCCACCAAAGCCACCA